CAACUUUGCUAUCUUAGAACGGAUCACCAGUGAAAGAGGGGAAGUUGCUACUGUGAUGAAUUCUGCCAUGUGGUACCAGACUGCUGCCCAGACCACAGUGUCCUCUGCAACCCUGGUAACUCACAUACAGGCCUGAUUCCACCUACAGCAAAGCUGGAUGCUAUGGUUGGCAGAGGCAAGCCCCUUGCCUGCACUUCAGGCCAAAGCCGGGAUGUGGCCUAGAUGGUUCCUAAGGUCCCUGACAGUCCUGAGAUCUUUCAUCUUGUCUAUUUCAGGUCAAAGCUUCUCAGAUGACCAAGAUGGUGCUGCCGAUGGUGUUGAGGACGGAGAACCCACCAAGCCCCGUUAGGAGCCACCUAGACUGGAUGCAGAGCACAGACAAUUUGCUGAGGUCUGGGAGCACCCCCUCCAGAGAGUCCCUGAUCUCUCACAACUUGGUCGUGAUCUAAAGUUUAUUUGAUGUACAACUCCCC
rnacentral:lncRNA from 1 species